CGCUUAAAGAUGUUUAUUCAGAACAAUAACUUAUAUCCAAAAAAAACCUCAGAAAUAUAGGAACUACCACCAAUGAAGGUUCUAAAAAACUAUAGGUGAUACUUAUAAUGCUUAAAGCAAUGCUCUGUUUAUCUUUUUUUUUUUAUCGUUAAGACUUGAAAUUGAACAAAAAAUAAUGGAAUUAUCCUUUAACGAAAACAUCUCUUGAAAAGCCAUUCGUUAAUGGCUAAAUGCUAUUUAUUUCUGAAAUCGGCUUUUGGUACACAUAAGAUAUUUUGUUGGUUAACAGAUAUUUUUUUUACGCCGGACAGCGAUUAAAACCUCACCAAGGAAACUUAAUUUUAUUUCGCUGUUCUGAGUGUUCAAGAUGUUACAUGCAGCUAAAAUAUUGGUAAAAUAAUUUAAAAAAAUACUGGUCUGUAUAAAAUGUACGCAAAAGUAGAAGAAAGAAAGCAACUUGAAUGCACUCCUGGCCUCAGAUAAGUACAUUAAACAAAUGACAGCUAACACGAAAUGAGUGACAAUAAAAGCGCUAUUCCAACACUUGCUUCAUCAAAAACAAAAUCUAUAUUCAAGAC
rnacentral:lncRNA from 1 species